rnacentral:rRNA from 1 species
AAUCAACGCUGGCGGCGUGCCUAACACAUGCAAGUCGCACGAGAAAGGGGNGCAAUCCCUGAGUAAAGUGGCGCACGGGUGAGUAACACGUGAAUCAUCUACCUCCGAGUGGGGAAUAAACUGAGAGAAAUCUUAGCUAAUACCGCAUAAACACUUACGAGUCAAAGCAGCAAAUGCGCUUGGAGAGGAGUUCGCGGCCGAUUAGUUAGUUGGCGGGGUAA